UGUCAGUGAAAUGAUGAGAACACAGCAAAAGUUUGCAUUAUACUGCUGUGGUAUCGAAAUAAAGGUGAUUUUUUUAAAGACUUUUCACUUUUAUUUGAUAGGACAGUAUUUAGACAGGAAGCAAAGUGGGAGAGAGAGGGGGGAUGGGACUCAAACACGGGAUGCCCAAAACAAAACAACGCUACAUGUUGACGCACUUACAUCAACCCAAUGUAAAGAUUAAAUUUAACCACUGAUUCUUCACAGCCUCAUCCUUUGGAAGUGAAAAUAAACCAAAUUUACUUCCACAACAUCUUCUUGACAUUGUUAUCCACAUGAAUUAGCUUCAACAUUUGGUGGGAGUUCAAGUUUCCGUGGGAUGCAGAACGUAUCGGAAUAAUGCAAAUGUGGUAACUUGUGGUCAGUCACUAAAAAAAAUCUUAAAUUCACAAGAACCUCAAUGUUACAGUUUUAAAAAAAAAUAAUACACAGUACUAAAAACAGUAGUAUGUUAAGGAGAUAAAUAAAUACUUGAUAUUAAAAACUUACAGGAACUGUUUAUUUUUUUUGCAAAUUACAAAAAGACAUGCAGAAACAUUUUAAGAACAUUGAAUACUUGAAUACGGCAGUGUGGUGAGACAAUGAAUAUUGGGCUCCAUCCAGUAGAAUACAUUUAUUCAUACAAGAAUCACUGUUUGUUUGGCCACAAACAACAGAAUAAGAAAACCAGACAUUUUUUUGUCGAUUAUACACACAUGCACACGCGUCGUCGAGACCGUGGUAAGCUCAGAUGUUCCGUGAAAGCCCCCAGACAGAAUUUUCCGAUAAACAGCCACACGCUCGCAAGCAUACGGCCACGCUAUGGGGGAAAUAAUGACAUCAUGGUCACGGCAGGUCUGCUGGCAGAGCGUAGGCGACUGUGGGCCGGGGAGAGGAAACGCCACUAUGUGUGUGUGUUUGUGUGUGUGUGUGUGCUUCCUGAAAAGGCUGGGAAACACUAGCGUCGGCUGGGGGAAAAACCUUUGAGGUUGUUCAUCAAGCUGUUCAUGGAAUCCACGUGUUUCACCAGCGGAGAGAAAGAAAAGGAAGGAUUGAUGAGGUCCAAAAGACGAUAGUAGUGGGAUUUAAGGAAUAUUUGAGCUAUGAAUGUGUCCUGGUGUCCUGUGGUGUGCCUCUGAACUAGCAUAAAGACAUGCUAGUGCUAGCGCUUGCAACAGCGUGGUGGUGAAAUGUGAACCUCUUUCAGAACCAAACUACAUUUCCACUAACUUGAAAGCCGAACAAUGAUGUAACAGACUGUAACCUGCACUCCAAUGUUAAGUUUUGAGUGGUUGUUGAAAAUGACUUUGUCUUGCAGUUUCUCCCUGCAGUCCCCCCCUUUUACCAUAAAGAUGUAAAAAGCUUUCCAUUGUCUAUUUUCCCAGAAUCCACCUGAAGGCAGAUGGCACUCAAUUCAUUCUGUACCAAAAGACAUCUGCUUACAGGCCAACUUUAGCUAGACAGAAAUCAAGGAUGAGAUGUUACCGUUUGAGUCAUCUUUGCCCGGCAGACAUUGACAUUUUAAGACAAUCGAUUAAUACAGCUAGACUUCAAGGAGUGUUUGGUCAGGUCUUACAACUCUCUGAACCAGAAAUGACUUUCCGGUUCCCUCAUGGACAAAUAAAAAGCCCCGUCCUGCUGAGAUCGAACUUGGAGUCUAUAUUUAUGUAACAGAUAGAUACAGCCUUAAAAUUUGAUUUGAUUAGGCUUGUAUGAGAA